rnacentral:rRNA from 1 species
UACGAAGGGGGCUAGCGUUGCUCGGAAUCACUGGGCGUAGAGCGCACGUAGGCGGACUCUUAAGUCGGUGGUGAAAUCCUGGAGCUCAACUCCAGAACUGCCUUCGAUACUGAGAGUCUUGAGUCCGGGAGAGGUGAGUGGAACUGCGAGUGUAGAGGUGAAAUUCGUAGAUAUUCGCAAGAACACCAGUGGCGAAGGCGGCUCACUGGCCCGGUACUGACGCUGAGGUGCGGAAGCGUGGGGAGCGAACAGG